rnacentral:tRNA from 1 species
CAAAACGUAGCUUAACCAAAAAGCAUCUGGCUUACACCCAGAAGAUAUCACUUUAGCGAUCGUUUUGA